GAUGAACGCUGGCGGCGUGCCUAAUACAUGCCAGUCGAGCGAACAGACGAGGAGCUUGCUCCUCUGACGUUAGCGGCGGACGGGUGAGUAACACGUGGAUAACCUACCUAUAAGACUGGGAUAACUUCGGGAAACCGGAGCUAAUACCGGAUAAUAUAUUGAACCGCAUGGUUCAAUAGUGAAAGACGGUUUUGCUGUCACUUAUAGAUGGAUCCGCGCCGCAUUAGCUAGUUGGUAAGGUAACGGCUUACCAAGGCAACGAUGCGUAGCCGACCUGAGAGGGGGAUCGGCCACACUGGAAGUGAGACACGGUCCAGACUCCUACGGGAGGCAGCAGUAGGGAAUCUUCCGCAAUGGGCGAAAGCCUGACGGAGCAACGCCGCGUGAGUGAUGAAGGUCUUCGGAUCGUAAAACUCUGUUAUUAGGGAAGAACAAAUGUGUAAGUAACUAUGCACGUCUUGACGGUACCUAAUCAGAAAGCCACGGCUAGCUACGUG
rnacentral:rRNA from 1 species